AUGACUUUGGGGCUGGCCUGAAAAAGGCCGUCCCACUGCAGCCCCCACCGCCCCUGACCUCGGCCAGCAAGGCGGUAGGGCCAGGGUGGGGACCAGGGUGGCAGGGAGAGGAGAUGGAACGAUGGGGGCGGGGCAGGCCGCAGGGACACAGCUGGCCCUGGAGCCCCCACUGGUCCUGUAGAUCCAGGUGUUCCUGCUGGGGGGCAGCCGCAAGCGUGUGCUGGUGCGUGUGGAGCGGGCCACGGUGUACAGCGUGGAGCAGGACAAUGAUCUGGAGCUGGCCGACGCCUACUACCUGGGGGGCGUGCCGCCCGACCAGCUGCCCCCGAGCCUGCGACGGCUCUUCCCCACCGGAGGCUCAGUCCGUGGCUGCGUCAAAGGCAUCAAGGCCCUGGGCAAGUAUGUGGACCUCAAGCGGCUGAACACGACAGGCGUGAGCGCCGGCUGCACCGCCGACCUGCUGGUGGGGCGCGCCAUGACUUUCCAUGGCCACGGCUUCCUUCGCCUGGCGCUCUCGAACGUGGCACCGCUCACUGGCAACGUCUACUCCGGCUUCGGCUUCCACAGCGCCCAGGACAGUGCCCUGCUCUACUACCGGGCGUCCCCGGAUGGGCUAUGCCAGGUGUCCCUGCAGCAGGGCCGUGUGAGCCUACAGCUCCUGAGGACUGAAGUGAAAACUCAAGCGGGCUUCGCCGAUGGUGCCCCCCAUUACGUCGCCUUCUACAGCA
rnacentral:lncRNA from 1 species